AGGGUGAGAUGUGAUGCCGAGCCGUUUUAGGUGAAGUGAGUGAUCCCAUGCUGUCGAGAAAAGCCUCUAGCGAGUGUACUGGCGGCCCGUACCCUAAACCGACUCAGGUGGUCAGGUAGAGAAUACCAAGGCGAUCGGGUGAACUGUGGUUAAGGAACUCGGCAAAUUGCCCCCGUAACUUUGGGAGAAGGGGGACCACGCCUGGUGAAGGGAUUUACUCCUGGAGCUGGGUGGGGUCGCAGUGGCCAGGGGGAAGCGACUGUUUACUAAAAACACAGGUCCGUGCGAAGUCGUAAGACGCUGUAUACGGACUGACGCCUGCCCGGUGCCGGAACGUUAAGAGGACCGGUUAGACCUUUUGGGGUCGAGGCUGAGAAUCUAAGCGCCGGUAAACGGCGGUGGUAACUAUAACCAUCCUAAGGUAGCGAAAUUCCUUGUCGGGUAAGUUCCGACCUGCACGAAUGGCGUAACGACUUCCCCGCUGUCUCAACCACAGGCCCGGUGAAAUUGCAGUACGAGUAAAGAUGCUCGUUUCGCGCAGCAGGACGGAAAGACCCCGGGACCUUCACUAUAGCUUGGCAUUGGCGUUUGGAGCGUCUUGUGUAGGAUAGGUGGGAGACUGUGAAGCCGGCACGCCAGUGUCGGUGGAGUCGUUGGUGAAAUACCACUCUGGUCGUUUUGAGCGUCUAACCCGCGCCCGUGUAUCCGGGUGGGGGACAGUGCCUGGUGGGUAGUUUAACUGGGGCGGUUGCCUCCUAAAGUGUAACGGAGGCGCCCAAAGGUUCCCUCAGCCUGGUUGGCAAUCAGGUGGUGAGUGUAAGGGCACAAGGGAGCUUGACUGUGAGACGGACGUGUCGAGCAGGUGCGAAAGCAGGGCCUAGUGAUCCGGCAUCUACGUGUGGAAGUGGUGUCGCUCAACGGCUAAAAGGUACCCCGGGGAUAACAGGCUGAUCUUCCCCAAGAGUCCAUAUCGACGGGAUGGUUUGGCACCUCGAUGUCGGCUCGUCGCAUCCUGGGGCUGGAGUAGGUCCCAAGGGUUGGGCUGUUCGCCCAUUAAAGCGGCACGCGAGCUGGGUUUAGAACGUCGCGAGACAGUUCGGUCCCUAUCCGCUGCGCGCGUAGGAGAAUUGAGAGGGUCUGUCCCUAGUACGAGAGGACCGGGACGGACGAACCUCUGGUGUGCCAGUUGUCCCGCCAGGGGCAUGGCUGGUUGGCUACGUUCGGUCGGGAUAACCGCUGAAAGCAUCUAAGCGGGAAGCCUUCCUCGAGAUGAGUUCUCCCACCCCUUUGUGGGUGUAAGGCCCCCAGUAGACGAUUGGGUUGAUAGGCCGGGUAUGGAAGCGCCGCAAGGUGUGGAGUUGACCGGUACUAAUAGGCCGAGUGGCUUGAACACACA
rnacentral:rRNA from 1 species